ACCUUUCUGUUCUAAUAUGUAAAAAAGAAAAGGAGCAAUCAAAAAGAUAAAGGAAACUUUUGAACACUGAUAAACACCAAGAACUCUAAUAAAAUUCUUUACCUCUCAAAACUUCUGAAAAUAUAAAAAACCUCUGAAAAAUAUCUCUAAAAAAUCCUCUCCAAAAAUCCGUUCAGAGCACCCCUUUUAUGCCCAAACCUAGAAGCUUCCUCAAAAAUUCAAAAAUAUUCCCAUCUAGAAUGAAUUCGGAUAGAUGGAGAGAGGGGAUCGAUACAAAAUCAAUCUACGAUCCCCAUUUUUUGGAAUUCAUUCUCAAAAAGCACAUGGGAGAUGAAAAAUCUGACAGAGGCUGUUAGAAUCUUCCUGACGAGGAGCGAGGGGGAAUGCAUGAGUGAUUUUGAGCUCACUCGCUAUGGAUUUGGGCGUUUAAGAGUGAAUUUGGGUGAGGAAGUAGUGAACAACAAUGUCUCUAAUCCUAGGAUAUUAGGGCUCUGCGAGUGAAAUUCGCGUGAGUAUAUCUAGGGGCGGGUCGAGUUAGCGGGUGGGUUGGUCUUAUUAGCGUGAGCAAAAGAAAUGAUUUUGUUUGAAUUCAUAACAGUAAUCGGACAAAAUGUUUAAGCACAAACUUGAAUGUAAUGUAUUUACAUUGAAAUCUAGCAUAACUAUAAAAUAGAGGAAAGAAAAACAAACAAAUAAAUAAAUAUAUGAACCAAACAGAAGAUGAACAUGUCAUUGAGAAGAGUUUAAACAUCAAUUUUCAUCACAGAUAUAGAAAACUAUAGCAGAUGCAAAGAUAAAUAAAGAAAGGUGUGAGAAAUUAACUAGAGUGCAUGAGAGCUUAGAUGGAUGAAGUGGAGUAUACUAGAAGAUUCUAAGAGAAGAGAUAAA
rnacentral:lncRNA from 1 species